rnacentral:rRNA from 1 species
AGGCAGCAGUGGGGAAUAUUGCGCAAUGGGCGGAAGCCUGACGCAGCGACGCCGCGUGAGGGAUGACGGCCUUCGGGUUGUAAACCUCUUUCAGCUCUGACGAAGCGAGAGUGACGGUAGGAGCAGAAGAAGCACCGGCCAACUACGUGCCAGCAGCCGCGGUAAUACGUAGGGUGCAAGCGUUGUCCGGAAUUAUUGGGCGUAAAGAGCUCGUAGGCGGUCUGUCGCGUCGAAUGUGAAAACCCGGGGCUCAACCCCGGGCCUGCAUUCGAUACGGGCAGACUAGAGUUCGGUAGGGGAGUCUGGAAUUCCUGGUGUAGCGGUGAAAUGCGCAGAUAUCAGGAGGAACACCGGUGGCGAAGGCGGGACUCUGGGCCGAUACUGACGCUGAGGAGCGAAAGCGUGGGGAGCAAACAGGAUUAGAUACCCUGGUAG